UUCCUCAUUUUUCACAGAUUUUGGUCCUCUGAAAGUGGUUUGAUGGCCUCCAAACAUGGCCUCAUGGUACAUCCCACAACCUACGUAGAUAUUCACAUAUAUUUAUAAAAAGAAAUGAAAAGCAUAAUAAGAUUUUCACUUUUCCAUGUUUUAAAGCCACUUCAAUAUGUCAAUUGCCAAAUAGGGUCCCAUAAAAUGGUCCCUUUUUUUUUUCUUUUGGGUUAAUAGGAAUAAGCCAGAGAGAGAGAGAGAGAGAGAGAGAGAGAGAGAUCCUACCCUACCUUAUUUUGGUCUCAAUUGACAUAUUGCUUUCCUUCAGAUGCGGUUUUACUUGGAUGGGAGCCCUUGACAACAGUCUUAACUUUAAUACAACUCCAACAUACAUUAUUUCUAUCACAUACCAUUAUAUAUGUGAGGUGAUAUCUACCUUUUUCUUUUAAUUCCAUUAUGAGACCUCCUCAAACUUUUUAAGCAACAAUACCAGAAAACUCAAUAAUACCAUAAAAUCAAAACUCUCCUUUUCUAAUUCAUUGAAAUAAUGGGAAAAUAACUACUCCUCAAAAUAUGAAAACCGAAAAUUUUUACUUUUACUGCUUCAAC
rnacentral:lncRNA from 1 species